rnacentral:rRNA from 1 species
AGAGUUUGAUCCUGGCUCAGAUUGAACGCUGGCGGCGUGCCUAACACAUGCAAGUCGAGCGGUAACAGGUGUAGCAAUACAUGCUGACGAGCGGCGAACGGGUGAGUAAUGCUUCGGAAUCUGCCCAAUGGUGGGGAAUAACCAGCCGAAAGGUUGGUUAAUACCGCAUACGUCCCACGGGAGAAAGCAGGGGAUCGCAAGACCUUGCGCCAAUGGAUGAGCCGAAGUCGGAUUAGCUAGUUGGUAGGGUAACGGCCUACCAAGGCGACGAUCCGUAGCUGGUCUGAGAGGACGACCAGCCACACUGGGACUGAGACACGGCCCAGACUCCUACGGGAGGCAGCAGUGGGGAAUAUUGGACAAUGGGGGAAACCCUGAUCCAGCGACGCCGCGUGUGUGAAGAAGGCCUGCGGGUUGUAAAGCACUUUUAGUGGGGAUGAAAAGUUCAGGGCUAAUACCCCUGGAUCUUGACCUAACCCACAGAAAAAGCACCGGCUAACUCUGUGCCAGCAGCCGCGGUAAUACAGAGGGUGCAAGCGUUAAUCGGAAUUACUGGGCGUAAAGCGUGCGUAGACGGUUACAUAAGUCGGGUGUGAAAGCCCCGGGCUCAACCUGGGAAUUGCAUUCGAGACUGCGUAGCUAGGGUGCGGAAGAGGGAAGCGGAAUUUCCGGUGUAGCGGUGAAAUGCGUAGAUAUCGGAAGGAACACCAGUGGCGAAAGCGGCUUCCUGGUCCAGCACCGACGUUCAGGCACGAAAGCGUGGGGAGCAAACAGGAUUAGAUACCCUAGUAGUCC